rnacentral:rRNA from 1 species
AUUGAACGCUGGCGGCAUGCCUUACACAUGCAAGUCGAACGGCAGCGCGGGGCAACCUGGCGGCGAGUGGCGAACGGGUGAGUAAUAUAUCGGAACAUACCCUAGAGUGGGGAUAACGUAGCGAAAGUUACGCUAAUACCGCAUACGCACUAAGGUGGAAAGUGGGGGAUUCGCAAGAACCUCAUGCUCAUGGAGUGGCCGAUAUCUGAUUAGCUAGUUGGUGAGGUAAAGGCUCACCAAGGCAACGAUCAGUAGCUGGUUUGAGAGAACGACCAGCCACACUGGAACUGAGACACGGUCCAGACUCCGACGGGAGGCAGCAGUGGGGAAUUUUGGACAAUGGGGGCAACCCUGAUCCAGCAAUGCCGCGUGAGUGAAGAAGGCC